AUCGACAAAGCCAAACCCGCCGCGAGGAGGGGACGGAAAGCCACGGGUCUCCAGCAGACAGCCGGGCCGCCGAAC
rfam:Desulfovibrio gracilis DSM 16080 genome assembly, contig: BR08DRAFT_scaffold00024.24